GGCCGGACUUGGUCGUCGCGCCUCUGCUGGGGGACUCGUUGCUUCGGCGGCGAGGUACCUACGUUACUGUGAAGAAAUUAGAGUGUUUAAAGCAGCGAUCGCUUGAUACAUCAGCAUGGAUAACAGAUAUGACAUAUGUCUCUGUUGUCUUGUGGACAACAAGUAAUGAUCAUAGGGCCAGUUGGGGGCAUUAGUAUUCAGUAGUCAGAGGUGAAAUUCUUGGAUUUACUGAAGACUAUCUAAUGCGAAAGCAUUUGCCAAGGAUGUUUUCCUUAAUCAAGAACGAAAGUUAGGGGAUCGAAGACGAUCAGAACCGUCGUAGUCUUAACUAUAAACGAUGCCGACUAAGGAUCGGCCAGAAGUCGUAGCGACUCUGUCGGCACUUUGUGAGAAAUCCAAAGUUUUUGGGUUCUGGGGGGAGUAUGGUCGCAAGGCUGAAACUUAAAGGAAUUGACGGAAGGGCACCACCAGGAGUGGAGCCGCGGCUUAAUUUGACUCAACACGGGAAAACUCACCAGGUCCGGACAUAGUAAGGAUUGACAGAUUGAGAGCUCUUUCUUGAUUCUGUGGGUGGUGGUGCAUGGCCGUUCUUAGUUGGUGGAGCGAUUUGUCUGGUUAAUUCCGAUAACGAACGAGACCUUAACCUGCUAACUAGUUGCAGGUACUUUUGUAUCUGACACUUCUUAGAGGGACUGACUA
rnacentral:rRNA from 1 species